rnacentral:pre_miRNA from 1 species
CCCACACCCAUAUGUAUAGAAACCCAAAGGAUCACCAUUAAAUUUGGCACAGAUCUCUAGAAAAUUUAUCACAUGGGUGUGGGACUUGACUUUUCUAGAGAUCUGUGCUAAAUUUAAUGAUAAUCCUUUCGGAUCCUACACACAUGGGUGUGGG